CAAGCAAAUCCCAUAAACCGUGGCUCAGUUCAGAUCGUAGGCUGCAACUCGCCUACGUGAAGUAGGAAUCGCUAGUAAUCGCAGGUCAGCAUACUGCGGUGAAUACGUUCCCGGGCCUUGUACACACCGCCCGUCACACCAUGGAAGUUGGCCACGCCCGAAGUCGUUACUCCAACCCUUGUGGAGGAGGACGCCGAAGGUGGGGCUAAUGACUGGGGUGAAGUCGUAACAAGGUAGCCGUACCGGAAGGUGCGGCUGGAUCACCUCCUAA
rnacentral:rRNA from 1 species